rnacentral:lncRNA from 1 species
GCCUGCAGAUCGUGCUCAAGUCCAUCAUGAAGGCCAUGGUGCCCCUGCUGCAGAUCGGCCUCCUGCUCUUCUUCGCCAUCCUCAUGUUUGCCAUCAUCGGCCUCGAGUUCUACAGCGGGAAGCUGCACCGUGCCUGUUUUGUGAACAAUUCAGGUCGGCCUCCUCUCCCUCCCCACACCCUUCCUCGGUCCUCUGGGUCACGUGGAGGUGUCCAUUCCUGCCCUGGCAUUAGGAUCACACCCAGCCUGCGGUCAGCAUCCACACUGGACAGAUUUUUUCAAAGCAAGCAGCCCACUAGGUGUGCGGUUGGGUGAUUUCCGGAGCAGGUUAGAGGGCCAUCAGGAUGUUGUGUCAGCACCCACAGGCCACUGAGACUGGGACCCCAGAAGCAGACGCAGGGCCCCACAGAUGGGAGACCUUGCUCUCCACACGACCCACGUGCUGGAAUUGAGGGCACGCAGUGCUCACGUGGAAAGUGGCCUGGGGGCUGCCUGGUCGAGGGGACCUUGUUUGUGGUCUCUAAGCUGAGCCGAGGGCCCAGGGAGGAGAAGCUGGGCAGGGGCUGUGAAGAAGGGGCUGUGCACUCCAGGCCGUUAGGAGAAGGGUCCCCACAGGAUUCCUGCACCUCGGACUCAUUUUUUGUUCAAGACCAGGAGUCUGUGAUGAGAACAGGACUUAGAACUGCCAAAAACCUCCCCUCUACCCAGGGAGAGCCAGGGCUUAUCCAGAGUCUAAAUCAGAGUCAAUGAGAUUCUGGCUCCAGCUGAGGGUCUUCCUGUGGACUGUGGGAGGGUGGAGGAGGGGGUGCAGAAGGCAGGUGGCCACGCCAGGAGCUCUGUGUUUCAGAAGAGACUGGAGGCCGUGGGGGAACAGUUGGCCAAGGAGCGAGGAAUCCGGAGAGGGAGGCUCAAGCCUGCUCCAUGGGGCAGUUGUGGCUUCCUGGGGUCAUUUCCAGCAUGGGAGACUCCAUGUGGUCAGUCCCACCCUCCACAUGUGCCUGCAGGUGUUCUGGAAGGAUUUGACCCCCCUCACCCGUGUGGCGUGCAGGGCUGUCCGGCCGGUUACGAGUGCAAGGACUGGAUCGGCCCCAACGACGGGAUCACGCAGUUCGACAACAUCCUCUUCGCGGUGCUCACCGUCUUCCAGUGCAUCACCAUGGAGGGCUGGACAACCGUGCUGUACAAUACCAAUGAUGCCUUAGGAGCCACCUGGAACUGGCUGUACUUCAUCCCCCUCAUCAUCAUCGGAUCCUUCUUUGUGCUCAACCUGGUCCUGGGAGUGCUCUCCGGGUAAGCAGGGCUUCCUUGCCCUCUGACCUCUUAGUACCACCCCGUUAGCUGUCAGUCAGGAGACGUCUCCUGGGGAGCUGUGUGUGCUGGGCGCUGUUCUAGAUGUGGGGACACAGCAGCGAGCUGUUCUCCCAGUCACCUUCAUCUUUCUCAGGAAUUAGAAUUCCCCAUGGACAGGGUGUCUGCUCGUCCACCCUGCGUUCGCUCUGGGCUGUGUGGGAGCCUGUGCUGGUUGUGGGGACACAGUGAGUGAGGGGGGGAUUCUCUGGGGAAAUGGACAUCAAAUCCCACCCAAGUCAGCCGGCACUGGUCUGCAGGUCCUCAAUGCCCAGUUUUGGGGCGCAGUGAGGGGCCCAUGUGUGUGCUGGGCGCAGUUCCUGCCUCAGCAAGCACAGUUUCCCUAGAAGACAACAGAAACGUGGACACGGGGGGAGGGGGUUCUCCCACUGGGCAGUGGAAGAUGCAGAUCUUGGUUUGGGAGCAUCUGUGCUCGGAGGCCAUCAAGGACCAUUGCUCCAAGAGCCGGGGUUUUCCUGGAGCAGGGAGUGUGCACCAGGGUGGCACAGACUCAGGAGCAGUGCCCCUAGCGAAGGGGAGAAACGGGGCUUGCCCCAGAAGGGCAGACGGGUGUACCCCAGGGACUUUACACGGGAACCAGACAUUCUCCAGGGGAUCGCGGUGCUUUGUGGGUCAUUUCUUGAAACUCCAGGGAAACAGGAAAUGGACUUUAAGCAGAGCAUGGGAGCAAGGGGAUGGGAGAGGAGCUGACUGACAAGGGCAGGACAGCUCAGGGGUUCCCAGGAAAUGCAGUGACGCCCUGUGGGGUGGCCACGCAGGAUGGCUGCAGUGGGUGUGUGUCAGCAGGCGCCAGGCUUGAGUGGAAUCCUUGAGUGAGUGUCCAGGGCCCCUGCC